rnacentral:rRNA from 1 species
UACGAACUGUGGCAAACGUUAUUCGGAAUCACUGGGCUUAAAGGGUGCGUAGGCGGCCAUUUAAGUAGGGUGUGAAAGCCCCCGGCUCAACCGGGGAAUUGCGUCCUAAACUAGAUGGCUCGAGUGAGAUAGAGGUGUGUGGAACUUCCGGUGGAGCGGUGAAAUGUGUUGAUAUCGAGAGGAACACCUGCGGCGAAGGCGGGUUGCUGGGCUGACACUGACGCUGAUGCGCGAAAGCUAGGGGAGCGAACGGG